rnacentral:rRNA from 1 species
GCCGAACGCUGGCGGCGUGCUUAACACAUGCAAGUCGAACGGAAAGGCCCUGCUUUUGUGGGGUGCUCGAGUGGCGAAGGGGUGAGUAACACGUGAGUAACCUGUACUUGACUGAGGGAUAACUUCAGGAAACUGGGGCUAUUACCGGAAAGGAGCUAUUGCUGCAUGGUGGGGGUUGGAAAGUUUCGGCGGUUGGGGAUGGAAUAGCGGAUUAUCAGCUUGAUGGUGGGGUAGUGGCUUACAAAGGCUUUGAAGGGUAGCCGGCCUGGGAGGGGGACCGGACACAUUGGGACUGAGAUACGGCCCAGACUCCUAUGGGAGGCAACGGUGGAGAAUAUUACACAAUGGGCUGAAGCCUGAGGCAGCAACGCCGCGUGCGGGAUGACGUCCUUCGGGUUGUAAACCGCUUUCGCCUUUGCCGAAGCGUUAGUGACGGUAAUGGGUAAAGAAGCACCGGCUAACUACGUG